UACGUAGGAUCCAAGCGUUGGCCGGAUUUACUGGGUGUAAAGGGUGCGCAGGCGGACUGGUUAGUCUGGGGUGAAAUCUCAUCGCUUAACGGUGAAACUGCCUUAGAUACUGCCAGUCUUGAAUUAGGGAGAGGUUCGUGGAAUUCCGAGUGUAGCAGUGAAAUGUGUAGAUAUUCGGAAGAACACCAGUGGCGAAGGCAGCGAACUGGCCCUUAAUUGACGCUCAAGCACGAAAGCAUGGGGAUCAAACAGG
rnacentral:rRNA from 1 species